rnacentral:piRNA from 1 species
UGGAAGUGGUUAGUGACAGAAAAC